AUCUGUAAUUGGAUCAUCGUCUCCCACCAUUAUCAGUAAUCGCAAACAUUGCAUAAAACCCUGUUCGCUCUGUUUUGUGGCGGUUCUCUCCGACCCGUUACGAUGGCUGAGAUGGUAGGCGGAUACCCGCUCUAUCCCUUAUAACCACUCAUGAUGCCCCUUCCCCAAUAUCAGUUUCAGCCUCUGCCUCAAUCUUACCCUCUGCCGCAACUCGAACCUCCGGGAACCAGAAAGCGCCGCCGUGAAGAGGGAAGCCCAUCGUCUGCUUCGGCAGAUGGGGACACGCUGGAUUCGGCCGCAAAGCGCAGAGCCGUGGCGCCGGACGGGAUAUUCAGGAUCGCGGUGCCUUCGAGGCAGAUCGGGAAGGCGAUUGGCAAAGUGGGGCACCGUGUCCAGAAGAUUAGAGAGGAAACAAAAGCUGCAAUUAAGAUCGCCGAUGCCAUAGCCGAGGAUGAUAGCAAUUCUGAGGCAUCUAAAGUUGCUGCAGGACAUGUAGCUGCCAAUACAAUAAGACUUCUGAUUGCGGGGUCCCAAGCAGGUUCUUUAAUUGGAAUAUCUGGUCAAAAUAUCGAGAAAUUAAGGAAUUCCUCUGGUGCUACAAUCGUGGUGCUCGCACAAAAUCAGUUGCCUCUGCGUGCAUCAGCUUAUGAAUCUGAUAGGGUUGUGCCGAUAUCAGGUGAUGUACCUGCAGUGCUGAAGGCUCUAGAAGAGAUUGGUCAUCAACUCAGGUUUCUUGUUGUUCUAAUAGUUACUAUUAGUCCAACAUACAAUUAUAGCUUAAUCCGACCAGCCCAACCAUUUGUGGAGCCAACUUCAGGACUACCAAUCUUGCAGCUGACUAUGUUACGUUUGAGAUGAUGAUUUCGGAAACUAUGGUUGGUGGAUUGAUAAGAUGCGGCUCCAAUAUAUCAAAGAUCAGAAGUGAGUCUGGAGCUAUGAUCAAGGUUUAUGGGGGAAAAGGGGAACAGAAGCGUAGGCAGAUCCAAUUUGGCGGUAGUGCUCAGUAGGUACGUCCACUUCCUUUUUAAAGUUUUUUAGUUGCAUGGUCGUCAUGUCGAAGUUUUGGCAAUUGUAUAUUUAGGCAAAGCAGAGAGUUGAUGAAUACAUGUACUCUCAGAUGAUACAACAAGCUGGUACUCAACAAUCAAUCUAAUCGAGAUGAUGAAUUAGGAAUACCCGGGGGAGACCACCUGGUGUCCAUCCUUACAUUUACUGUGUAAAAUCCGUUUCCUUGCCACCGAUUCUCUCCAUAUGAUCAUUCUGUGCGUAUGUAGAUAUCACGCAUUCAGUUAAAUGAGUUGUUUCUUCCUUACUGCAACAAUUAUGUAUAGGAUUUUGAAUUUCUUAGUGCUUUUGUUUAGAGUAACCUCGUGUCGAGUGGAAUGGAGUUUGGAGAGGGAGUGAAAUAUGAUGGUAUUGGUAUUACUA